UUCCGUAUCUUGAACAUCCAAGCAUCAACUAAUUCGAAAAUCGUCUGACGCGCGAUACUCAUAGGCUUAUUGUGACGAACUACAGCUAAUUGUAGCAAAUCUUAUUUGGUGGGCUCUAAUACCUUUCGUUGUAUGGGAGUUGUCGAAGCACACAAGACAAGCCUCCGGUGAAUAUCAAUAAGGAGAGACAGCGCUAGGGGUAAUGGCCCCCCCUAACGCCAAUUCAAUAGUCAGGAAAUAUUAGGACUGGCUAGAACUAGAGAACGCGUGAAGGGGGUGCAACUGAAGUUAAUUCAUAAGAGAAUCCUGGAGCACCUCUGUCAUACGCGUCGGGUGGUCAUCGUGGAGUUUUAGUCGGUAAGAGUCCGACACUACUCUGCUGUUACGCAAUUACUGCAACAGCGGAGUGUCCAUGAGGAUUUCUCCACGUAAAAAAAAAAAAAAAAAAAAAAAAAAGG